rnacentral:rRNA from 1 species
UACGUAGGGACCGAGCGUUGUCCGGAUUCAUUGGGCGUAAAGGGUGCGUAGGCGGCGCGGUAAGUCGGGUGUGAAAUCUCGGGGCUUAACUCCGAAACUGCAUUCGAUACUACCGUGCUUGAGGACUGGAGAGGAGACUGGAAUUUACGGUGUAGCGGUGAAAUGCGUAGAUAUCGUAAGGAAGACCAGUGGCGAAGGCGGGUCUCUGGACAGUUCCUGACGCUGAGGCACGAAGGCCAGGGGAGCAAACAGG